ACUUGUCCUUUCUCCUCAGGCUUAACCCGGCUGCUGACAUCACAGAGGGCACCCCAGAUGAGGGCGCAGUCUGUGCACCUCCUGAGAAAAGCAGGGAGACGCCGAGCCCAAGCCCUGAUGCGGGGGACGCCCAGGAGGUGACAUACGCCCAGCUGGACCCGCGGGCCCUCACCCUCAGGGCAGCUCAAGCUGUGCCCCCACAGCCCACGGAGCCCACCGCUGACAGCAGCACAUACGCAGAGCUUCCCAGACGCUGACUCGGGACCCCCUGGCCUCUGCACCUACAGACACAAGUCACCUUUUUUUUUUUUAAUUUAAAUUCUUUAUUGUUUAAAGUAUUACAUAAGUCUCCUCUCCCUCUCCUGUUGACCUCUCCCUGGCCGCCCCACCCUCAACACAAGUCACUCUUGCAAAGGCCUGAAGCACCAUGAAGAGGACUUCCCUCUGCAAUCACCCCGUUCUUCACAGCCAUCUAUUCAUUUCUCCUGGAGCGAGAGCUGGAGUCGGGGGACACUUACUCAACACCUAGGAGGUUCCUUCACCAGGGCCGCCCCCUACAAUCCACCAGCUGCUUGGAGCACCCAUAUAACACUUGUUUCCAGAGACCCAGCUACAGUUGUCCAGCAGUUUCCAGAGACCCAGCUACAGUUGUCCAGCAGUUUCCAGAGACCCAGCUACAGUUGUCCAGCAGUUUCCAGAGACCCAGCUACAGUUGUCCAGCAGUUUCCAGAGACCCAGCUACAGUUGUCCAGCAGUUUCCAGAGACCCAGCUACAGUUGUCCAGCAGUUUCCAGAGACCCAGCUACAGUUGUCCAGCAGUUUCCAGAGACCCAGCUACAGUUGUCCAGCAGUUUCCAGAGACCCAGCUACAGUUGUCCAGCAGUUUCCAGAGACCCAGCUACAGUUGUCCAGCAGUUUCUAGUAACCCAGCUACAGUUGUCUGGCAGUUUCCAGAGACCCAGCUACAGUUGCCCAGCAGUUUUCAGAGACCCAGCUACAGUUGGUGGGCUGUUUCCAGAGACCCAGCGACAGUCCUACAGUCACCCAGCUCAUUCCAGCCAUGCCCUGUGAAUCCCCACCUUCCCCCCAGAGACUGUUGGAACCAUCUUCUUAGCCGGCUCUAAAGACUUUCCACGUGUUGGCCUGGAACCUGGGCCAUAUUUAUGCAGCAAAUCUCUGAUGCCUCAUUGUCUCUGAAUCCUGCUUCAUCUUGUGCAUCAAUAAAUGUUUUCACACAACCAA